CUGGGCAAAGGUGGGAUCCGCCCUAUCCAGGGGCCGGGGAGGAAGGAAGAGAUUACACAAUGCAAUCCUCCUGAGCUUCAGACAGAAGGACCAGGAAAAAGAGGGAAGAAGUGUUUUUUAAAAAGCAAACCUGGAGCAGAAGGCACUGCAGAGACGCUAAGGCUGAAACAAACUUCGUCACCAAAAACACUCAGGGCAUUUCAGGAGAAGCACAGGAAGAUGACCCUGAAUCUAAAGGUCCAGAGGCCACAUGAGGUCAGCCUGCUGCCUGGAUGAAACAGCUACAGCGUCCUUGGACAUGGAACUGACCCUUGGACGCUCACAACUUAAUUGAGGAAAUGACAACUUACCCAGAAACAACCCGAGAACAAAAUAAGGCAGUAAAAUCAGCCAGCCUGCGGCAGGCUGUGAGUUCUA